rnacentral:tRNA from 1 species
GGUCUUGUGGUCUAGUGGUAUGAUUCUCGCUUAGGGUUGGAACCUGAGCUGCUUGCGAGAGGCCCCGCGUUCGAAUCGCGGCAAGACCC